ACUCAAAGGAAUAGACGGGGGCUCGCACAAGCGGUGGAGUAUGUGGUUUAAUUCGAAGCAACGCGAAAAACCUUACCAGCCUUUGACAUGGUGGUCGUAGAAUCCAGAGAUGGAUUCGUCAGUUCGGCUGGACCACACACAGGUGUUGCAUGGCUGUCGUCAGCUCGUGUCGUGAGAUAUUGGGUUAAGUCCCGCAACGAGCGCAACCCUCAUCUUUAGUUACCAUCAGGUUAUGCUGGGUACUCUAGAGAAACUGCCGAUGAUAAAUCGGAGGAAGGUGGGGAUGACGUCAAGUCAUCAUGGCCCUUACAGGCUGGGCUACACACGUACUACAAUGGCGGAUACAAUGAGAAGCAAUAGGGCGACCUGGAGCAAAUCUGAUAAAGUCCGUCUCAGUUCGGAUUGCACUCUGCAACUCGAGUGCAUGAAGUCGGAAUCGCUAGUAAUCGCAAAUCAGCAUGUUGCGGUGAAUACGUUCUCGGGCCUUGUACACACCGCCCGU
rnacentral:rRNA from 1 species